UAAGACUGCAUGUGAUUUAGGUAGUUUCAUGUUGUUGGGGCUCCAUUUUCAAUCCCUACAACACGAAAGUGCCUUAAUUGCUCCAGUUAAA
rnacentral:pre_miRNA from 15 species